GAAGUCGAGUUGUUUGGGAAUGCUGCUCAAAAUGGGAGGUAAACCCCUUCUAAAGCUAAAUAUUGGCCAGAGACCGAUAGCGCACAAGUAGAGUGAUCGAAAGAUGAAAAGCACUUUGAAAAGAGAGUUAAACAGCACGUGAAAUUGUUGAAAGGGAAGCGCUUGCGACCAGACUUGCGCCCGUCGGAUCAACCGUCGCUUGUCGGCGGCUCACUCCGGCGGGCUCAGGCCAGCAUCAGUUUUCCCGGGGGGAGAAAGGCGGUGGGAAUGUAGCUCCUAGGAGUGUUAUAGCCCGCCGCGUAAUACCCUCGGGGGGACUGAGGACCGCGCAUCUGCAAGGAUGCUGGCGUAAUGGUUGUCAGCNACCCGUCUUGAAACACG
rnacentral:rRNA from 1 species